rnacentral:rRNA from 1 species
AACGAACGCUGGCGGCAGGCUUAACACAUGCAAGUCGAGCGCCCCGCAAGGGGAUCGGCAGGCGGGUGCGUAACGCGUGGGAACGUACCUUUUGGUUCGGAACAACUCCGGGAUACUGGAGCUAAUACCGGAUAAGCCCUAACGGGGAAAGAGUGAUCGCCGAAAGAUCGGCGCGCGUCUGAUUAGCUAGUUGGUGAGGUAACGGCUCACCAAGGCGACGAGCAGUAGCUGGUCUGAGAGGAGGAUCAGCCACACUGGGACUGCGACACGGCCCAGACUCCUACGGGAGGCAGCGGUGGGGAAUAUUGGACAAUGGGCGCAAGCCUAAUCCAGCCAUGCCGCGUGAGUGAUGAAGGCCUUAGGGUUGUAAAGCUCUUUUGUCCGAGAAGAUAAUGACGGUACCGGAAGAAUAAGCCCCGGCUAACUUCGUG